AUUGAACGCUGGCGGCAUGCCUAACACAUGCAAGUCGAGCGGAUGAAGGGAGCUUGCUCCUGGAUUCAGCGGCGGACGGGUGAGUAAUGCCUAGGAAUCUGCCUGGUAGUGGGGGAUAACGUCCGGAAACGGGCGCUAAUACCGCAUACGUCCUGAGGGGGAAAGUGGGGGAUCUUCGGACCUCACGCUAUCAGAUGAGCCUAGGUCGGAUUAGCUAGUUGGUGGGGUAAAGGCCUACCAAGGCGACGAUCCGUAACUGGUCUGAGAGGAUGAUCAGUCACACUGGAACUGAGACACGGUCCAGACUCCUACGGGAGGCAGCAGUGGGGAAUAUUGGACAAUGGGCGAAAGCCUGAUCCAGCCAUGCCGCGUGUGUGAAGAAGGUCUUCGGAUUGUAAAGCACUUUAAGUUGGGAGGAAGGGCAGUAAGUUAAUACAUUGCUGUUUUGACGUUACCAACAGAAUAAGCACCGGCUAACUUCGUG
rnacentral:rRNA from 1 species